rnacentral:SRP_RNA from 1 species
GCUGCCCCCAAUUGCGGUGGGGCCGUGUGAACCAGGUCAGGUCCUAACGGAAGCAGCCUUAAGCAUUGGUUCUCAGGUGCAUGCGGGGGUAGCGUU